CUCUUUACUAAUUGAAAACUGACAGCAAAAAUGCCCUCAACCGCAAACAUCUAGAAGAAAAUGGAGACAUUCGGACAGGCUGAAAUACUUUGAGUUUUAUGAGUUCUAAUAAGGUUAAUGAAGGCUCUGGAAAGAAUUUUGUUUCAUGGUGGACUCAACAAAACAAUGAGCUGGGAUCUUGAGUGAUUGGCCGGAGGGGGAGGCCUGGGAGCCUGGGCCUGAUGAGCUGCGGGUCAAGUUGGGUGAGGCCGCGCCACAGCUUCUUUCCACGCUGACGCAACCUUGGUGGAACUUGGACACUAUCUGUUGCUUGGCCUUCAGACUGCUGUCAGUCUCCAGUCGCUUUAUUAAUUUGCUGCUACAAUGAACUAUUACUAAAAGCCUGCUCUUGCCAGGCGCUGUGAUCGCCCUGCAAAGAUGCUGCCUGCCCUUGGAAGAAAUUACAAAUAACACCAUAUUGAUAUAUUUCUUGUGAGGAUGAAGUGAGAUCAUACAUGAAAAGCCCUCAGAACAGCUGGAGGUUCUCUGCCAGAUGGAAC
rnacentral:lncRNA from 1 species